AACCCUAUAGUAUAUAAAUAAUGUUAAAUUGCAAAUUUGAAGAUGUGUAAAUCACUGGGGU
rnacentral:tRNA from 1 species